rnacentral:tRNA from 1 species
CAGCUGGGAGAGCGCUUGCAUGGCAUGCAAGAGGUCCGCGGUUCGAUCCCGCGUAGCUCCA